GUCAAAUGGCACUCCCACAUAUUUAUGUACAACAGCAUAAUAGCCCGUGUCCUUUGAAGACUGAGAGAUUUCAUAAUAAACAUUAUAUUGUUUGUCAGAAUACAGACUGAGAGAGCUGCUGAAAACAAACACACACGAUGUCACGCUGACUAGUGUUUGAUUUAGUCAAGUUUAAGUCACUGUUAUUCUGUCUUUCUUGGAAAAACAUAGACAUCGCUGUUUGGAAAUUUAGAAUAGUGUCAUUUAUCUUUGGAUGAGCAGAAGUGAAUGAAAUGCCUGCUGGGACAUGUGCGUCUCUCUGCUGGAUUUUACUCUCUGUCUGCCUCCUGUUUACCUCUACAGAUGGGAAAAUCAUCAAAGCUGAGCCUGGACAGAACGUCACUCUGCCAUGUCGAACUCCACAUAUCAGCGUCCCCAUCAGAGCUGUGGAGUGGUUCAGACUUGACCUGCAGGAAGGACAUGUCCUCAUGUACCAGGAUGAGCAGUUUAUUUCAUUGAACCAGCUUCCAUCGUUUGUAAACCGGGUGGAUCUGAAGGACAGACGGAUGAAGGACGGAGACGUGUCUUUGACUCUGAGGGAUGUGACAAGUGACGACACUGGAACAUUUCAGUGUUACGUGAUCCAGAGAGGAACAAAUGGCAGGAAAAGCGUUGUUGAUCAUAUCAGCACCGUCUACCUGAGAGUUGUAGUGAGCAGCGAUGGACACACAGCAAUCAGCUGUAGACGUAUAACACAAUUACAAUUGAAUUCUUUAGUGUAUUUCUCCUUUUUACUUAAAAGCUUUCUUAAGAAGAUUUAACAAAAAACUGAAUAAGUUUUUUUUUUUCAUUUUCAUUUUCAUGAUUAUUUUGCUGUUAAAAAGUAAUAAUGCCAAUAAAGUAUUUAUAGUGCAGCCAGUCCCUACUUUAAGACUGCCACAAUCCACUUCCACCAAAAUAAUUUUUAUCCUAAUUUUUCCAUUUAUCAAUUUUGAUCUUUGAUGAUUUGCUUGUAGAGGCGGAGUCUGUAUGAACAGCUUUAAUUCUGCUAUUUGGAAACUUCUCCAGUUUAGUUUAUUUCUACCAGUAUUACAUUUGUUGACCAAUAAUUUUCUCAUAGUUUUUAUGUAUUUGUUUAUUUAUUUUACCAAUGAAAACAAGAUGAUAACUAAUGCAAAAGGAGAAAAACAAUAAUGAAAUUAUUUUGUCAACAAAUAAAUUAAUAAAAUGGAGCGAUGUGUUCCAAGGAGAA